UACAGAGGUCCCAAGCGUUGUUCGGAUUCACUGGGCGUAAAGGGUGCGUAGGCGGUCGGGUAAGUCUGAUGUGAAAUCUCACAGCUUAACCGUGAAACUGCAUUGGAUACUAUCCGGCUCGAGGAAUGGAGGGGAGACUGGAAUACUUGGUGUAGCAGUGAAAUGCGUAGAUAUCAAGUGGAACACCAGUGGCGAAGGCGAGUCUCUGGACAUUUCCUGACGCUGAGGCACGAAAGCCAGGGGAGCAAACGGG
rnacentral:rRNA from 1 species